UCAAGCUUUGAAAAUUAAUGGGAUCAUAAAUAUUAUUGUUAGCUGCUUUGUAGUGCGCUCCUCCGGUGGAAAACGUCUUUAAAACUGUCGUAUCGAUCCUUCACACUAAAUAUCGUGUGUGAUCUGUGCGCUCGCUCCAUGAUCCAGCUCUAGAUUCUCAACACAACGACAACAAUGGCUGCCCCUGUGCGAUUCUGCUGGAGGUCCACUGCGCUGCUCUCUGUAUCGAUGAGCACGGCGUUCGCUUCGGCAUUCGUGGGAUCUCCGCCAGGCUACGAGCGCUCGUCGCGCGAGAGCGAAACGGGCCGCAGUUUGAACGAAACGGCCAGUAGCUCAUCAGAGACUUUGACCUGCCGAGACCGAGCUGGUGAACAGCCAACCUAUCAACCGACGUACAAAGAAUAUCUCUUAUUGGCGAUUGUGCCAUCGUGAGAAUAAAGAAUUCAAAAGA